rnacentral:ncRNA from 4 species
AUCACAUUGCCAGGGAUUU